rfam:Pseudomonas putida KT2440 complete genome.
GACCUUGCGAUGCCAGCCUGAGCGUUGAGCGAAAGGCUGAUGGCUGGUGGCUUAUGCCACCGGCCU